rnacentral:tRNA from 1 species
GCCCGAUUAGUUCAGCUGGAUAGAAUGUCUGCCUACGGAGCAGAUGGUCGUAGGUUCGAAUCCUGCAUCGGAAAGGCU